ACGUAGGUGGCAAGCGUUAUCCGGAUUUAUUGGGUGUAAAGGGCGUGUAGGCGGGAGCGCAAGUCAGAUGUGAAAACUCAGGGCUCAACCCUGAGCCUGCAUUUGAAACUGUGUUUCUUGAGUGCUGGAGAGGCAAUCGGAAUUCCGUGUGUAGCGGUGAAAUGCGUAGAUAUACGGAGGAACACCAGUGGCGAAGGCGGAUUGCUGGACAGUAACUGACGCUGAGGCGCGAAAGCGUGGGGAGCAAA
rnacentral:rRNA from 1 species